AACAAACAAACAAAAAACCCCAGGACACUCUGUUGUCUUGUCACUGUCCCUCACAUGUUCUGUGACCCCAGACAAACCACUUCCCUUAUCUGAGCCUCAGUUUCCCCAUCUGCAGCCCAGCACAGUCCCAGCACAGAACACAUGUUCAAUAAAUGAAUCAUGGAGAUCUCUAGUUAACCUGUAGGACUCCAGCCAGCUCGAGAGAUCUAUUAAUACAAUUCUACCCACGAUUCUGCUCUUUCGAAAGUGCAGCUUUCUUAGUUGAGUUCUUCCAGAUGCAGACUUUGAGAUGAGGCUUCAUCUGCAAGCAAUUUAUUAAGGAGUGCUUCCUGAAGACCAGCAGGGAAAAGAAGCUACAGUGUGGUGUCAAGCAAGACCCAGCCUCAGCCUGAUCAAACCAGGUGCUCUGGAGAAUGCAUUAUGACUUUGUGCUAUGGAGAAUGCAUUAUGACUUCGUACCUCAAUGCAAGACAGCUGGGCUCUCACAGUUCUGGGCCCACCAGUCACUGGCUAUGGGGCCACCUGGGAGGGGUGUGUGAAUUCCCAGGCACUUGCAUCUCUGCAGGAGUGCAAGGGCGGGCCCCUGAAGUAGGUUUAAGUGAUCGCUCUUGGAGGUGAAGCAUAACGAAGCUGGGGGAGCAACAAGAAAUACCUUCAUCUUUUUAGAGAAGAGUGAAAUUGAAGCCAGAGAGGUUGGUUAACUUGCCCAAGAUCACAAAGCUUCCAAGAUGAAGAGCUGGGAUUUCAUUUCAGGUUUCCCAUCUGGCAACAUCCAAGCCCUUUCCAUAAUUCCACACUGUGAAUUUGCUUCCCAAACCAAGAGUGGGAUACAAUUAGCUGGGGAGUGCAACUCAUCCCUCAAUCACUGAUCUGAGUAUGGAUAUCAAAAGAAACAUUUCCUGAAGCAAGACGCUGAGCUGGAAGCUUCCACGGUUGUGCCUAUACUGUGGCAGUCCUGCGCGAACCUGUCCGGCCCCAUGGAAACCUGCAGGGCUGAGGUCUCCCAGGGCAAAUGGGGCUGCAGGAUGCUCACUACACCCCCAGAAACAGGAGAAGGGACAAGGACACAGGACUGUCUGUGAGCAACACUGACUUUCGGCACAGGAGAGAUCCUUUGCCCCUCCUCACUCCAGAAUAUUGCUAAGAACAUAAUUGAUCUCUCUCCUUCUCAUUCACUCACAUCUCCCAAAACAAAGGAAGAGAGACCCAUUCAACUGAUCAGAGCCUGACUUUCCAUUGCUGAGCCAUGUUUUACUACUGAGUGGGGCAACUGCUUUAAAAAUCCAUUUGUUGCUGCAUUUUCUUGCCAGCUAUUUCUUCAUUUACAGGGUUCUGAGAGGCCUGGCCUCUGCUUCCUCCGCCCAUCCAAUAAGUACCACCUGUCUGUUGAGGGGCUCAGUGGCUUCAAGGUUUCAACCCUGGCUACAUCAUGGAACCAUCUGGGGAGCUUUCCAAGUACUGAUGCCUGAACCUUAGUCACAGAUUAAUGGAAACCUGAGGAAUGGGGACCCAUGACCUGGAGUCUGUAAGGCUUCCCCAUUGAUGUGAUGCUUGGUGAAAUCUGUUUGGUUCAGUGUGGGUCGGUGUGAGUGAGUAACCAAGUGAGCUGAUCAUGUACGCUCUCCACAUAUGAUUUGUGGGGAAGACAAGGACAUUUAUUCUUUCAAUUGGUUCAUUCGACAACUACUUACUGAGCAACUACUAGAUGCCAGCCAUGGUUCUGAAUGCUGGGAAUAGAGUGGUAAAAAUGCAGAGGACAUGCAAAUUGAAACAACGGAAUACCACUACACGCCUACUGGAGUGAACAAAAUCCAAACACUGACAACUCCAAGUGCUGACGAGGAUGUGGAGGGAGCAGCAGGAACUCUCAUUCCUCCCUGGUGGGAAUCCAAAAUGGCACAGCCAUUUUGGAAAACAGAUUGGCAAUGUCUUACCAAACUAAGCCUACUCUUACUAUACAAUCCAGCAAUCAUUUUCCUUAGUAUUUAUGCAAAGGAGUUGAAAAUGUACGUCUGCAGAAAAACUUGCACACAGAUGUUUAAAGCAGGUUUAUUCACACUUGCCAAAACCUGGAAGCAACUAAGAUGUCUUUCGGUAGGCUACCAGGUAAAUAAACUGUAGCAUGUACAGAUAA
rnacentral:lncRNA from 1 species